rnacentral:rRNA from 1 species
AUUGAACGCUGGCGGCAGGCCUAACACAUGCAAGUCGAGCGGCAGCGGGAAAGUAGCUUGCUACUUUUGCCGGCGAGCGGCGGACGGGUGAGUAAUGCCUGGGAAAUUGCCCGGUCGAGGGGGAUAACAGUUGGAAACGACUGCUAAUACCGCAUACGCCCUACGGGGGAAAGCAGGGGACCUUCGGGCCUUGCGCGAUUGGAUAUGCCCAGGUGGGAUUAGCUAGUUGGUGAGGUAAUGGCUCACCAAGGCGACGAUCCCUAGCUGGUCUGAGAGGAUGAUCAGCCACACUGGAACUGAGACACAGUCCAGACUCCUACGGGAGGCAGCAGUGGGGAAUAUUGCACAAUGGGGGAAACCCUGAUGCAGCCAUGCCGCGUGUGUGAAGAAGGCCUUCGGGUUGUAAAGCACUUUCAGCGAGGAGGAAAGGUUGAUGCCUAAUACGUAUCAACUGUGACGUUACUCGCAGAAGAAGCACCGGCUAACUCCGUGCCAGCCGCCGCAGUAA